CCUACGGGAGGCUGCAGUGAGGAAUAUUGGUCAAUGGGCGCAAGCCUGAACCAGCCAAGUCGCGUGAGGGAUGACGGUCCUAUGGAUUGUAAACCUCUUUUGUCGGGGAGCAAGGUGCGCCACGUGUGGCGGGAAGGAGAGUACCCGAAGAAAAAGCAUCGGCUAACUCCGUGCCAGCAGCCGCGGUAAUACGGAGGAUGCGAGGGUUAUCCGGAUUUUUUGGGUUUAAGGGGGGCGUAAGCGGAAGGUAAAGUCGGGGGUCAAAUGUCGGUGCUCAACGCCGGACUGCCGUUGAUACUGGUCUUCUUGAGUGAGCGAGAAGUAUGCGGAAUGCGUGGUGUAGCGGUGAAAUGCAUAGAUAUCACGCAGAACUCCGAUUGCGAAGGCAGCAUACCGGCGCUCAACUGACGCUGAGGCACGAAAGCGUGGGGAUCGAACAGGAUUAGAUACCCUGGUAGUC
rnacentral:rRNA from 1 species